rnacentral:rRNA from 1 species
GUCUCUUUGAUUAUACUUAUAUAAAGAGUUUGACCUGCCCAGUGAUACAAUUUAACGGCCGCAGUACUCUGACUGUGCAAAGGUAGCAUAAUAAUUUGCCUUAUAAUUGAUGGCUAGUAUGAACGGUUUGACGAAAGCAUUUCUGUCUCAAAUAUAUUUUUUAUAAUUUAUCUUUUAGGUUAAAAGACCUAAAUAAAACAAAAGGACGAGAAGACCCUAUCGAGCUUUAAAAAAAUUUGAUAAAAGAAAUAUUAUUAAGAUUUCUUUUUAUUAAAAGUUUUUUUUGGUUGGGGCGACCUAGGAACAAAUAAAACUUCCUUAAAUAAUAAAAUAGUGCAAAUGAUCCAACAUAAUGUUGAUAAGUGGAAUUAGUUACCGUAGGGAUAACAGCGUUAUUUUUUUCGAGAGAUCUUAUCAAGGAAAAAGUUUGCGACCUCGAUGUUGGAUUGAGAUAACUUAAAGGUGCAGGAGCUUUUAUAAGUUAGUCUGUUCGACUAUAAAAAUCUCACAU